UGCCAAUGAUGUUGAUGAAAUAUAUUUGCUACUCUUGAAGAUAAAUGAUGUUAAAACAUGGCUGAGGCA